GCCCCUGCAUUCGAAAGUGAUCAUGAGCUGCCCGUGCCCUGGUCAUUGGUAGUGCAGGGAGAGGAACUGCCGAGAGCACUUCCCCGUGUUUGGAGGGUCCACUCCUGUCUCUUCCAAACCCUGGAGCUUUCCCACACCUCCUCCCUCCCACCACGUCUUAGAUGGCUCCUGGUGCCUGGCAUCAUCUAGUGGGUUGUGUUGCUCUUCUCCCUGGCCCAGGGCAGUUAUUGUGAGACAUGAGGGAAGGGUGUGGGGUGAUGGGUUUGGCCUCAUGGAGCAGAAGGGCUGGGUGUGGAGCUGAGAUAGGGCUGCCCUGCUCCUUCCUCCCGGAAGCUUUCUCUGCCUCCACACCUCUCCUUCCACGUCCUUAUCCAGCCCCUGCACCAAGCUGAACCUGUGGAAAUUGUUGCCUGACUUGUUUCCUGGCUCUCUUUGCUGUGGUCUCAAGGGCAGUGUCUGAAUUUUGUUCCCUACUUUGUUAUGUCUGCCAGAUGGUCAGUAUUCUGACAGUGUGGGACAAAGGAAAAACGGCAGCCUGGGCAACCCCGCCUCUAUAAGAACUAAAAAAUUAGCCAGGCAUGGCGGUGCAUGCCCCUGUAGUCCUAGCUUCUCAGGAGGCUGAGGCAGGAGGCUCUCUUGAGCCCGGGAGGACAAGGCUGCAGUGAGCCAUGACCAUGCCACUGCACUCAGCCUGGGCAACAGAGUGAGACCCUGUCUCAAGAAAGAAAAACGAGAAAGGGAGAGUCCCUCCACUGUAAGGAGAUCGGGUUCAUUACAUUUUGGGGUGUUGGAGAAAAAUACUGAGUCAGCACCUGUGUGGGAUUGGUGGGAGCAGAUUUGGUGUUUUCCACCCCUUCACAGGAUUCUGAGGUAACUCAUUUCUGUUGGCCUUGGCCUUGUAUGGGGAGGAUUUCCCUCCAGCCUUGUAUGGGGAGGAUUUCCCUUGUAUGGGGAGGAUUUUCCCUCCAGCUUGUGGGAAAGGAAUCAAGGACCAGAGACAGGCAGGGGAGAAGAUCACUGAGGGAUUUACGGCAGCAGCCUCUGCACGGCUUCCCCACGACCUCCCCAGCUGCUUGCUGGACGCUGCUGGAGAAACAGCACAUCCCAAGAUCAUCAUGGCCCCAGCAUCCUCUUGAACUUAGUAACAGUUGGCCUGACAGAUGAAGCGGAUAUCAUCCCUGCCUUAGAAGUUCUCUAGCCCCUUUCUUAGAGAUAAGCUGCUAUUUCAUUCCUAAAAGAAGUCAUGGCUGUUCAGGAACAUCCCGAGAGCCAAGUUCCCAGAUGCCAGCCAAGGGCCAUCUGACCUGUUUUGAAUCUCAAUUUCCUGAUACAGAAAACAAAGGAUUGUCAGCUGACCUCUGUCCUGUGUGCCCAGUGGCCCCAGGUGACGUGUCUUCAAGAAGAGGCUGAGCUGCGGUGCUUGUAAGAGUCAUGUGCUGUUCCUGGGGCUUGGAUGAUGUAGGGGAAGCAAGGUGAAAGUGGUAUCCCGUGGUUCCACGUUCUGUCCUGCUGUGGGGCUGUCCCUCACAUGCUUUCAGUGGCUGUUGCAGAGGAAGAGCCUCCGGAAAUCUGCGUGGGUCUCAGCCUUAGAUCCAAGGACAGUCCAAGGAAGUCCUAAGACCAUGGAGUUGGUGAUCUGGGAUCUGGGUUUGCUGAUAUUUCUCACCGUGAAUCUCUUGGUGGUGUUUGUGGGCACGAGAGGGGCAGAGAAUGGAGAGUGAGGCUACCACAUGAAGCGUCACCAGAGCUGCUCCCUGCUGCCUGCUCAGAGCACCCCGGAUCCACUGUUCAAUCUGCACAAGAUUCGGGGUCCAGACAUGGGAGACUUCAGCUGCCUCAGAGGACCGUGGACAGGGAAGGCCAGCCUCGCAUCCCUCUGUCCAUGCCUGGAAUGACUUUAAUAACCAAGAGUUUUAUUUUUGAAUUUGUAGCUGUCGUUCACUUUUUACCCACCCAUUCAAUAAACCUUACAGAAUU
ensembl:lncRNA SNHG17 small nucleolar RNA host gene 17